AUGAGCUGUUGCACAGAAGUUGCUAAACUGUCCACCUUGGCCGAAAUUGUAUCACUGUGGUACACAUUCGGUGGAGGAACUAAACUGGUGCUCGCUGGUCCCACAGUGAAGCCCUCAGUGUCUCUGCUGCCGCCCUCUUCUCUGCAGAUCUCUGGAGACUCAGCCGCACUGCUCUGCCUGCUCAGCUCUUACUCUCCACAGGGGGCGCUGGUGAGCUGGACACUGGACGGGUCAGAGGUCACCGAGGGGGUCGUGACCAGCGCAGAGAGCCAGCGGGACGGCCGCUACAGCCGCAGUAGCGUCCUGACCCUCAGCAAAGCACGCUGGGAAAAGGGAGAGGUGUACGUCUGCAGAGUAACACAUGAUGGAGCUCCUCAUGAGGUCUCGUUCCACAAGAGCUCUGAGUGCUGAUGUUUCUCUCCUGAAGAUGAGCCGUAUCUGAGUGUCCUGUGUCAGGCAGGAUUCACAUGAGUCUAGUGCUGCAGCUGUAGUGAUUUACAACUCAAUACUGAAAGAGAGCUGGCGUGUCAAAGCACUGUGUGAUCUUUCAAUCUGCUGUAACAUUCAAUAAAGCUUCUCAACAAGUUCA